rfam:Myotis davidii contig324478, whole genome shotgun sequence.
GGAUAUGAGGGCGAUCUGGCUGCUACAUCUGUCACCGCAUUUACCACCAGGGUUGAUUGGGCUGAUCUGGCUGGCGAGGCGGGUGUCGCCCCCCUCCCUCAACCUCAACAGUGUGUCCCUCCCAAAGCUGUCUACUUGGCCUAAGGGGAUGGCCUUCCCCCCAGAGGAGAGGCCUGGUCUUCGGGCAAGGGCGUUUGAGUAGCUGCCAUUCCCCUGCUAGAACCUCCAAAUAAGCUCUCAAGGGCAAUGAGGAAUAUUUUAAUUUUUGAGAGAUAACCCAUCUCCCUUCCCAUCUCAAAAACAUCUGG